rnacentral:rRNA from 1 species
GACGAACGCUGGCGGCGUGCUUAACACAUGCAAGUCGAACGGUGAAGCGAGUGCCUGCACUUGUGGAUCAGUGGCGAACGGGUGAGUAACACGUGAGUAACCUGCCCAUCACUCUGGGAUAAGCACUGGAAACGGUGUCUAAUACUGGAUACGACCAACCCUUGCAUGGGGUGUUGGUGGAAAGAUUUAUCGGUGAUGGAUGGACUCGCGGCCUAUCAGCUUGUUGGCGGGGUAUGGCCCACCAAGGCGACGACGGGUAGCCGGCCUGAGAGGGUGACCGGCCACACUGGGACUGAGACACGGCCCAGACUCCUACGGGAGGCAGCAGUGGGGAAUAUUGCACAAUGGGCGAAAGCCUGAUGCAGCGACGCCGCGUGAGGGAUGACGGCCUUCGGGUUGUAAACCUCUUUCAGCAGGGAAGAAGCGAAAGUGACGGUACCUGCAGAAGAAGCACCGGCUAACUACGUG